UACGUAGGGCGCAAGCGUUAUCCGGAAUUAUUGGGCGUAAAGAGCUCGUAGGCGGUUUGUCGCGUCUGCCGUGAAAGUCCGGGGCUCAACUCCGGAACUGCCUUUAAGACUGCAUCGCUUGAAUCAUGGAGAGGUUAGUGGAAUUCCUGGUGUAGCGGUGAAAUGCGUUGAUAUCAGGAGGAACACCGAUGGCGAAGGCAGGUCUCUGGGCCAUUACUGACGCUGAGGAGCGAAAGCAUGGGGAGCGAACAGG
rnacentral:rRNA from 1 species